rnacentral:lncRNA from 1 species
ACCAAAGCACAUGAACCAUCCAACCCCCAUCUCAAGUGCCUUUUUUACACUUCAUUGUCGCCCUCCAAGCUGCAAAGCUAACUCCUGUAUUGAAAUUUCCUCUUGGCAAUCUAAGAGCAUCCCCACACGUUGGCUUCUGAUAAACGCACGCCUAGCACGAGUUUGCACCCCUUGUGGACUAUGCACAUUAAGAGGUAACAAAUAUCGCAAAUAAGCUGAUGUUGCUAACUUUUCCCCUUCUGAAAUCGGUACUGAUUUCUUUGGCCUCCCCCUUGGUCACUUAGUUCCCUCCUUCAUUGCCAUUUUCCUUUCUUCUCUAGGCCUCCUUUUUAAGUUCAAACGCUAUUCAUAUCGUUUAUCAUAUUUUGAGUGAUAACAAUUUCAAAGAUAUAAGUGUAACAUUUAAAAACUUUCACAUGAAUUGUGUUUCAGGAAACAUCACUUAUGGUUUGUACCCUAUACUGUCUGAUGAUAA